CAGGGCUUGACAUCCCUCGAAUCUUGAUGAAAGUCGAGAGUGCCUUCGGGAGCGAGGAGACAGGUGGUGCAUGGCUGUCGUCAGCUCGUGUCGUGAGAUGUUGGGUUAAGUCCCGCAACGAGCGCAACCCACGUCCUUAGUUGCCAUCAUUAAGUUGGGCACUCUGGGGAGACUGCCGGGGACAACUCGGAGGAAGGUGUGGAUGACGUCAAGUCAUCAUGCCCCUUACGUUCUGGGCUACACACGUACUACAAUGCUUUGGACAAAGGGCAGCCAACUAGCGAUAGUGAGCUAAUCCCAUAAACCGAGGCACAGUUCAGAUUGCAGGCUGCAACUCGCCUGCAUGAAGGAGGAAUCGCUAGUAAUCGCAGGUCAGCAUACUGCGGUGAAUACGUUCCC
rnacentral:rRNA from 1 species